rnacentral:rRNA from 1 species
UACGUAGGGGCAAGCGUUGUCCGGAAUCAUUGGGCGUAAAGAGCGUGUAGGCGGCUCGGUAAGUCCGCUGUGAAAGUCCAGGGCUCAACCCUGGAAUGCCGGUGGAAACUGUCGAGCUAGAGUCCGGAAGAGGCGAGUGGAAUUCCUGGUGUAGCGGUGAAAUGCGCAGAUAUCAGGAGGAACACCAAUGGCGAAGGCAGCUCGCUGGGACGGUACUGACGCUGAGACGCGAAAGCGUGGGAGCAACAGGAUAGAUACCGUGUAAGUCCAGAUCCCAAGUACCUA